rnacentral:rRNA from 1 species
GGGAAGGGCGGCAUGCUACCAUGCAGUCGAACGGUGAAGCAGAGCUUGCUCUGUGGAUCAGUGGCGAACGGGUGAGUAACACGUGAGCAAUCUGCCCCUGACUCUGGGAUAAGCGCUGGAAACGGCGUCUAAUACCGGAUACGAGCUGCGACCGCAUGGUCAGUAGCUGGAAAGAAUUUCGGUCAGGGAUGAGCUCGCGGCCUAUCAGCUUGUUGGUGAGGUAAUGGCUCACCAAGGCGUCGACGGGUAGCCGGCCUGAGAGGGUGACCGGCCACACUGGGACUGAGACACGGCCCAGACUCCUACGGGAGGCAGCAGUGGGGAAUAUUGCACAAUGGGCGAAAGCCUGAUGCAGCAACGCCGCGUGAGGGAUGACGGCCUUCGGGUUGUAAACCUCUUUUAGCAGGGAAGAAGCGAAAGUGACGGUACCUGCAGAAAAAGCGCCGGCUAACUACGUGCCAGCAGCCGCGGUAAUACGUAGGGCGCAAGCGUUAUCCGGAAUUAUUGGGCGUAAAGAGCUCGUAGGCGGUCUGUCGCGUCUGCUGUGAAAACCCGAGGCUCAACCUCGGGCCUGCAGUGGGUACGGGCAGACUAGAGUGCGGUAGGGGAGAUUGGAAUUCCUGGUGUAGCGGUGGAAUGCGCAGAUAUCAGGAGGAACACCGAUGGCGAAGGCAGAUCUCUGGGCCGUAACUGACGCUGAGGAGCGAAAGGGUGGGGAGCAAACAGGCUUAGAUACCCUGGUAGUCCACCCCGUAAACGUUGGGAACUAGUUGUGGGGUCCAUUCCACGGAUUCCGUGACGCAGCUAACGCAUUAAGUUCCCCGCCUGGGGAGUACGGCCGCAAGGCUAAAACUCAAAGGAAUUGACGGGGACCCGCACAAGCGGCGGAGCAUGCGGAUUAAUUCGAUGCAACGCGAAGAACCUUACCAAGGCUUGACAUAUAGAGGAAACGUCUGGAAACAGUCGCCCCGCAAGGUCUCUAUACAGGUGGUGCAUGGUUGUCGUCAGCUCGUGUCGUGAGAUGUUGGGUUAAGUCCCGCAACGAGCGCAACCCUCGUUCUAUGUUGCCAGCACGUAAUGGUGGGAACUCAUGGGAUACUGCCGGGGUCAACUCGGAGGAAGGUGGGGAUGACGUCAAAUCAUCAUGCCCCUUAUGUCUUGGGCUUCACGCAUGCUACAAUGGCCGGUACAAAGGGCUGCAAUACCGUGAGGUGGAGCGAAUCCCAAAAAGCCGGUCCCAGUUCGGAUUGAGGUCUGCAACUCGACCUCAUGAAGUCGGAGUCGCUAGUAAUCGCAGAUCAGCAACGCUGCGGUGAAUACGUUCCCGGGUCUUGUACACACCGCCCGUCAAGUCAUGAAAGUCGGUAACACCUGAAGCCGGUGGCCCAACCCUUGUGGAGGAGCCGUCGAAUGGUGAUCGAGCCU